rnacentral:rRNA from 1 species
GCAGUAGCCACGGUAACACGAGGGGGGCAAGCGUUGUUCGGAAUUAUUGGGCGUAAAGGGCGCGUAGGCGGUUUGGCAAGUUUGGUGUGAAAUCCCCGGGCUCAACCUGGGAAUGGCAGUGGAUACUGGCAAGCUAGAGUGUGUCAGAGGAUGGUGGAAUUCCCGGUGUAGCGGUGAAAUGCGUAGAGAUCGGGAGGAACAUCAGUGGCGAAGGCGGCCAUCUGGGACAACACUGACGCUGAGGCACGAAAGCGUGGGGAGCAAACAGGAUUAGAUACCCGUGUAGUCCCUGUCUCUUAUAC